GGAUAUAAGAGAUGGACUGGGUGGGUCAUAACUGGUGUCCCCGUCCUCCCUCACCGCUCCAUGUGUGUCCCUCCCGAAACUGCGCUCUUGGUCCAAGAGGACGAUCAUCCCCACUAGAGAAGGACCGAUCUCCGGUCAAGGGUAUAGAUGUAACUGCGCUUCCCUGCUAGAACCUCCAAACAAGCGUGCAAGAAGUGUGUGCCUCAAAAGCUAGGAUGCAUUCUUCAUUCGGGAGCCAAAGAUGAACACAAUCGUAGUUACGUUUU
ensembl:misc_RNA 7SK 7SK RNA